rnacentral:rRNA from 1 species
UACGUAGGGUGCAAGCGUUAAUCGGAAUUACUGGGCGUAAAGCGUGCGCAGGCGGUUUUGUAAGUCUGUCGUGAAAUCCCCGGGCUCAACCUGGGAAUUGCGAUGGAGACUGCAAGGCUAGAAUCUGGCAGAGGGGGGUAGAAUUCCACGUGUAGCAGUGAAAUGCGUAGAGAUGUGGAGGAACACCGAUGGCGAAGGCAGCCCCCUGGGCCAGUACUGACGCUCAUGCACGAAAGCGUGGGGAGCAAACAGG